CAGACCUGUCCUAGAUUGGAGCUCAGACUAAUGACCUUUUUCUGAGUUUGUCACAAACAGUUGGGUCCUUGAAACCUUCUAAAUCUUUGAUUGUGAUCGAGAUAGCCUGAUUUCAAGAAAUCUCAUAACCUUAGAGGCCUCUUGACUUGCAAGAAAAGCGGUGCAGAGAUUACAGAGAGAAUGGCAAGGCGGCCCAUUUUUACAACACUGAAAUUGAUGUUUGUGAUUCAUCUGGAAAUUGAAGUCCACCUGGAAUUCAGACAUUCCAUAGUGUGCAGUGGAGAGAAAACAGCAGCUGUCUGGGCUGAACGUCUUUCUGUGAAGAGAGGAAGAGGGGACUGCUUUGACAGCUUCUUCCCAGAGCUGGAGUCAGACGCAUGGAUGUGUAAAAGGAGUCAAUGCCUUCUAAUAGUGCAACUGAGAGGAAUUCAGCAGUAAGAUAAAGUAACAACACAGCACUAGAAGCAAUAUAGCCUUUGGCUGGAAGUAAAGGCAAAAAAAAAUGACCUGGGAUAGAGAAGAGCAUUGAUGUGGGGACUGUACAAGGAAACGUGAGAUAAAUUUCUCUCCUCUAAGGGAAUUCUUGUUAUGCUUAAAUAUGGUAUAGAGACAUAUUUUCUCUUGCUAUUUAGCUGAGACUUCUUACCUGCUUUCUUUUUUUUUUUAGUUCAAAUAAACCAAUGCUUUAUCUAU
rnacentral:lncRNA from 1 species